AUUGAACGCUGGCGGCAGGCCUAACACAUGCAAGUCGAGCGAGCGGCGGACGGGUGAGUAAUGUAUGGGGACUGCCCGAUCGAGGGGGAUAACUACUGGAAACGGUAGCUAAUACCGCAUACUAUCGGAUAACCCAUAUGGGAUUAGCUAGUUGGUGGGGUAAUGGCUCACAAAGGCGACGAUCCCUAGCUGGUCUGAGAGGAUGAUCAGCCAAACUGGGACUGAGAGACGGCCCAGACGCCAACGGAGGAAGCGGUGGGGAAUAUUGCACAAUGGGAGCAAGCCUGAUGCAGACAUGCAGCGUGUAUGAAGAAGGCCCUAAGGUUGUAAAGUACUUGCAGUCGGGAGGCGUUACCGACAGAAGAAGCGCCGGCUAACUCCGUGCCAGCAGCCGCGGUAAUAC
rnacentral:rRNA from 1 species